AAAUACAAAAGAAAAAUAAACGAGAGAGAGUGAGAGAGGGAACAAAUCAGGAUGCUUGAGGGAAUCCACGUGGUCGCCAAUCUGUAACUGAUCAGAGCAGCUAUACUGAAGCAAAACCCCAGAGCCUAACGCAAAAAUACAUUGCAAUAGAGAAACCGUCCACAAUGGGGUGUGUUAUGUCCUAAGCAGAGUCUUGGGGCUGCUGUUUAAUACCCUUUCGCAGCUCCCAUCCUCUCGGCGCCUAGUAAGCCACGAGAAGCAACAACGGAAUCUGGUUGUGCGUGCGUAGUGUGAAUGCACAGACGUCUCUCCGUAGGAAGGACGUAGAUUUUUCAGCACCAGGAGGCCGUGGACCUCUGGAGGCGUGCAGUACACCCUCCAGUGGGCUGGAGCUGGUUGCUACCUGCCUUACUAUGAACCACCCUGUCGUUCCCAAAUCUGCCACCCGGGGAGGUCCUGGUUAGAGCAGCGCCGGGUACCGGUGCGGGAGACCUGGACGGCUGCAUGACCUUCCUGCGAACUCCACCUCGGCUGGGGGUUGGGGGAGAUGGAGGCUGCUCCGGGUCUGCAGGCAGUGUAUCGAUCCCUAAGCCUCAGCCAAGGCAAAUUCUUCGGGCAGCAAUCUCUCCCUCCCUCCUUGGCUUUUCCAUCCCCGCAGGCUUCUAACGCCUCGCUGGAGGCGCCGUCUCCCAUUUCCUGCAAUAAAGUAAAUCCCGUGGAUAUUCACCCCACCAUCAACCCCCGGCACUGCCCUACCCCUCUUCCCUCCCUC
rnacentral:lncRNA from 1 species